rnacentral:rRNA from 1 species
UACGUAGGGGGCAAGCGUUGUCCGGAAUCAUUGGGCGUAAAGCGCGUGUAGGCGGUUACGUAAGUCUGCUGUGAAAGUCGGAGGCUCAACCUUCGAAAGCCGGUGGAUACUGCGUGACUAGAGUACGGAAGAGGAGAGUGGAAUUCCUGGUGUAGCGGUGAAAUGCGCAGAUAUCAGGAAGAACACCCGUGGCGAAGGCGGCUCUCUGGAACGGUACUGACGCUGAGACGCGAAAGCGUGGGGAGCGAACAGG